rnacentral:rRNA from 1 species
UGGGGAAUAUUGGACAAUGGGCGAAAGCCUGAUCCAGCCAUGCCGCGUGUGUGAAGAAGGUCUUCGGAUUGUAAAGCACUUUAAGUUGGGAGGAAGGGCAGUAAGCGAAUACCUUGCUGUUUUGACGUUACCGACAGAAUAAGCACCGGCUAACUCUGUGCCAGCAGCCGCGGUAAUACAGAGGGUGCAAGCGUUAAUCGGAAUUACUGUGCGUAAAGCGCGCGUAGGUGGUUCGUUAAGUUGAAUGCGAAAGCCCCGGGCUCAACCUGGGAACUGCAUCCAAAACUGGCGAGCUAGAGUAGGGCAGAGGGUGGUGGAAUUUCCUGUGUAGCGGUGAAAUGCGUAGAUAUAGGAAGGAACACCAGUGGCGAAGGCGACCACCUGGGCUCAUACUGACACUGAGGUGCGAAAGCGUGGGGAGCAAACAGG